rnacentral:rRNA from 1 species
UACGGAGGAUCCGAGCGUUAUCCGGAUUUAUUGGGUUUAAAGGGUGCGUAGGCGGUUUGAUAAGUUAGAGGUGAGAUGUCGGGGCUCAACCCCGAAACUGCCUCUAAUACUGUUGGACUAGAGAAUAGAUGCGGUAGGCGGAAUGUAUGGUGUAGCGGUGAAAUGCUUAGAGAUCAUACAGAACACCGAUUGCGAAGGCAGCUUACCAAACUAUAUCUGACGUUGAGGCACGAAAGCGUGGGUAGCAAACAGG